AUUGAACGCUGGCGGCAUGCCUUACACAUGCAAGUCGAACGCGAAAGCGGGGGCAACUCCGCAAGUAGAGUGGCGAACGGGUGAGUAAUGCAUCGGAACGUGCCCAGUCGUGGGGGAUAACCAGUCGAAAGACUGGCUAAUACCGCAUGAGACCUGAGGGUGAAAGCAGGGGAUCCGCAAGGACCUUGCGCGACUGGAGCGGCCGAUGCCGGAUUAGCUAGUUGGUGGGGUAAAAGCCCACCAAGGCGACGAUCCGUAGCUGGUCUGAGAGGACGAUCAGCCACACUGGAACUGAGACACGGUCCAGACUCCUACGGGAGGCAGCAGUGGGGAAUUUUUGGACAAUGGGCGCAAGCCUGAUCCAGCCAUGCCGCGUGAGUGAAGAAGG
rnacentral:rRNA from 1 species